CAACUGCCUGAUUAAAAAAAGGAAGGUGAGCGAGGGGAGGGGCGGGGCGGAAGAGGACUGUCUCCCACGUGACCACAACACGCUGCAGCGUCGGCGCCGGCGGCGGCUCCUUUAAGAGAGAUGUGGACGUCACGUGCAAGGAUGGCUGCGAGGAUGGAUGGAGAGAUCAUGAGAACGAGGGUGGCGAUGGAGGACCGAGAAGCACCAAACGUCAUCCGCGUAGAUCGCGUGGGGAAAAAAAAGACACCUCCUUCCCUGCCACCUUCCUACCCGAUUUUUUGGAUGUACAGUGUAAAUUGCCGUGCAACCUGGAGUACUCAAUACAAAAAAUUGGGGGUAUUCAUGGCGCUGUGCAUUUGUGGAGUGACUACCAUGCCGUGGGGGAGGUUCCAUUCAUGAAGGAGGUGUGUGAACUUACAAGUCCAAUGGCAAAGCAAGCAGAUUUUUGCUGCACGAAGGCUUCUUCACAUUGAGCAGAGAGAUGAGGCAAAAGAUGAAAAGGAAGAAGAGGAGGAUUGGGAGUGUGGGUGGAAGGAGGGAUGGAUGGAAGACUUUGCAGGAAGCGGCUGAACCCGGAGCAGGUGAACACAGCUGUGGAUCUCCAUGACGGGCCUCGCUGGCUGCCUUCCUCGCACGGGCCCCCCGGCGUUUGCGUUCAGGGGUCCCGGCAAGCUGACAGAGGCCAGGCAGAGUGGGCAGGCGAGGGCGGGCCCGAGCCAGGAGAGAUGCAGGUGAGGCAGGCGAGCCGAGGCGCCCGUCGCCGCCGGCUAGGAGCCUCCGCGCUGUCAAAUCAAUACAGAGGCUAGCAGAGGUUGGCCAGAACCGCCUGCGGGCCCCUUGGAGCCCUGGGACCGACCGCCAGUUCCCACCUCCAUCUUUUUUUUUUCCAGCUUCCUCCAACAGUCCUGGGCCAGAGCCCUCACCCUUGCACCCGCCCCACACAUGGAUGGAUGUUUCGGUGUGGGCUCGGCCCGCAGGGAUUUUUUUUGCCGCUCAAUAAACAUUUUGCCACUGAGAGGCGGGGACGCCAGAGCGGAAAAGAAGAAGCCAAUAUGUGGGAAAAAGCAAGAGUUUCUUCUUGAUUCUGUUAGGAUUCACAGG